UUACGAGCAUAUCACGUUGAAACACCAGUUUCCGUAUGAUUACCGAAGUUAAGUAACGUUGAGUCAGUACCUUGAUUGGUGACCGCUUGGGAAUACCAAGAGCUGUAAG